CCCAAAUGGGCACUGAGGGUGAGAAGGACCUGCAGGCUGAGGUGGGGCCCACAUGGGCGCUGAGAGUGAGAAGGACCUGCAGGUUCUCGGGACAUCGCCUUCUCCAUCCUCCUUGAAUGGCGCUGACUCUGGUUUGCAGGACCCUUUCCUGUGCCCUGAGCCUAUGGCGGAUCUGCCAUCUGCCAGAUGCUGGACCCUCGUAUGCACGUCAUCACGUCCUCAGGCCUCCACGGUGCCCAUCUCUCCAUCUCAUGGCCCAGGCCUCUGUGGUGCCUAUCUCCAUCUCGUGGCUCAGGCCUCCAUGGCACCUGUCUCUCCAGCUCGUGGCCCUGGAUGCUGGUGGUGCCCACCUGGCAGCGUGCCUAGCCCAUGGGGAGCUCAGCAAACCCUUGCCGACAUGCAAUGGGUUCCCAGUGAUCGGAUGAGUAAAUGAGAGCCUGCAGAA